rnacentral:rRNA from 1 species
AAUCCAUAGGUUAAUGAGGCGAACCGGGGGAACUGAAACAUCUAAGUACCCCGAGGAAAAGAAAUCAACCGAGAUUCCCCCAGUAGCGGCGAGCGAACGGGGAGGAGCCCAGAGCCUGAAUCAGCAUGUGUGUUAGUGGAAGCGUCUGGAAAGGCGCGCGAUACAGGGUGACAGCCCCGUACACAAAAGCGCAUGUGCUGUGAGCUCGAUGAGUAGGGCGGGACACGUGGUAUCCUGUCUGAAUAUGGGGGGACCAUCCUCCAAGGCUAAAUACUCCUGACUGACCGAUAGUGAACCAGUACCGUGAGGGAAAGGCGAAAAGAACCCCGGCGAGGGGAGUGAAAAAGAACCUGAAACCGUGUACGUACAAGCAGUGGGAGCACCCUUCGGGGUGUGACUGCGUACCUUUUGUAUAAUGGGUCAGCGACUUAUAUUCUGUAGCAAGGUUAACCGUAUAGGGGAGCCGUAGGGAAACCGAGUCUUAACCGGGCGUUAAGUUGCAGGGUAUAGACCCGAAACCCGGUGAUCUAGCCAUGGGCAGGUUGAAGGUUGGGUAACACUAACUGGAGGACCGAACCGACUAAUGUUGAAAAAUUAGCGGAUGACCUGUGGCUGGGGGUGAAAGGCCAAUCAAACCGGGAGAUAGCUGGUUCUCCCCGAAAGCUAUUUAGGUAGCGCCUCGUGAAUUCAUCUCCGGGGGUAGAGCACUGUUUCGGCUAGGGGGCCAUCCCGGCUUACCAACCCGAUGCAAACUGCGAAUACCGGAGAAUGUUAUCACGGGAGACACACGGCGGGUGCUAACGUCCGUCGUGAAGAGGGAAACAACCCAGACCGCCAGCUAAGGUCCCAAAGUCAUGGUUAAGUGGGAAACGAUGUGGGAAGGCCCAGACAGCCAGGAUGUUGGCUUAGAAGCAGCCAUCAUUUAAAGAAAGCGUAAUAGCUCACUGGUCGAGUCGGCCUGCGCGGAAGAUGUAACGGGGCUAAACCAU